CACGUAGGGGGCGAGCGUUGUCCGGAUUUAUUGGGCGUAAAGAGCUCGUAGGCGGCUCAGUAAGUCAGGUGUGAAAAACUCCAGGCUCAACCUGGAGACGCCAUCUGAUACUGCUGUGGCUAGAGUCCGGUAGGGGAGCAUGGAAUUCCUGGUGUAGCGGUGAAAUGCGCAGAUAUCAGGAGGAACACCAGUGGCGAAGGCGGUGCUCUGGGCCGGAACUGACGCUGAGGAGCGAAAGCGUGGGGAGCAAACAGG
rnacentral:rRNA from 1 species